CCUACGGGUGGCAGCAGUGGGGAAUUGUUCGCAAUGGGCGCAAGCCUGACGACGCAACGCCGCGUGGAGGAUGAAGGUCUUCGGAUUGUAAACUCCUGUUGCUCGGGACGAAAAGCUUUGACCUAACACGUCAAAGUCUGACGGUACCGAGUGAGGAAGCCCCGGCUAACUCUGUGCCAGCAGCCGCGGUAAUACAGAGGGGGCAAGCGUUGUUCGGAAUUACUGGGCGUAAAGGGCGCGUAGGCGGCCCUCUAAGUCAGACGUGAAAUCCCCGGGCUCAACCCGGGAACUGCGUCUGAUACUGGAGGGCUUGAAUCCGGGAGAGGGAUGUGGAAUUCCAGGUGUAGCGGUGAAAUGCGUAGAUAUCUGGAGGAACACCGGUGGCGAAGGCGGCAUCCUGGACCGGUAUUGACGCUGAGGCGCGAAAGCCAGGGGAGCAAACGGGAUUAGAUACCCGGGUAGUC
rnacentral:rRNA from 1 species